CGGGGUGUGGCGCAGCUUGGUAGCGCGCGUGGUUUGGGACCAUGAGGCCGAAGGUUCGAAUCCUUUCACCCCGACCA
rnacentral:tRNA from 10 species